rnacentral:rRNA from 1 species
GGGUGCGUAGGCGGUCCUAUAAGUCAGUGGUGAAAGACGGCAGCUUAACUGUCGCAGUGCCUUUGAUACUGUAGGACUUGAAUCUAUUUGAAGUGGGCGGAAUAAGACAAGUAGCGGUGAAAUGCAUAGAUAUGUCUUAGAACUCCGAUUGCGAAGGCAGCUCACUAAGUUAGCAUUGACGCUGAUGCACGAAAGCGUGGGGAUCAAACAGGAUUAGAUACCCUGGUAGUCCACGCCCUAAACGAUGAUAACUCGAUGUUUGCGAUACACAGUAAGCGUCCAAGCGAAAGCGUUAAGUUAUCCACCUGGGGAGUACGGUCGCAAGAUUGAAACUCAAAGGAAUUGACGGGGGCCCGCACAAGCGGAGGAGCAUGUGGUUUAAUUCGAUGAUACGCGAGGAACCUUACCCGGGCUUGAAAGUUAGUGAAUGAUCCAGAGACGGAUCAGUCCUUCGGGACACGAAACUAGGUGCUGCAUGGCUGUCGUCAGCUCGUGCCGUGAGGUGUUGGGUUAAGUCCCGCAACGAGCGCAACCCCUAUGUUUAGUUGCCAGCGAGUUAUGUCGGGGACUCUAAACAGACUGCCUGUGCAAACAGUGAGGAAGGUGGGGACGACGUCAAGUCAUCAUGGCCCUUACGUCCGGGGCUACACACGUGCUACAAUGGAUGGUACAGCGGGCAGCUACAUAGCAAUAUGAUGCUAAUCUCUAAAAGCCAUUCACAGUUCGGAUUGAGGUCUGCAACUCGACCUCAUGAAGUUGGAUUCGCUAGUAAUCGCGUAUCAGCAAUGACGCGGUGAAUACG